rnacentral:rRNA from 1 species
UAUGUAGGGUGCAAGCGUUGUCCGGAAUUAUUGGGCGUAAAGAGCUCGUAGGCGGUUUGUCGCGUCUGCUGUGAAAUCCCAGGGCUUAACCCUGGGCCUGCAGUGGGUACGGGCAAACUAGAGUGCGGUAGGGGAGAUCGGAAUUCCUGGUGUAGCGGUGAAAUGCGCAGAUAUCAGGAGGAACACCGGUGGCGAAGGCGGAUCUCUGGGCCGUAACUGACGCUGAGGAGCGAAAGCAUGGGUAGCGAACAGG